GGGAAAAGCUCAAGUUUGGAAGCUUCGUGGCAUAGCUACGACGCGUUGUAAACUGAAGUUUUUUGGGUGAUUGGGCGACCGGAUAAAUAAGUCCUUUGGAAAGGGGCAACAUAGAGGGUGACAUUCCCGUCUUUGGUCCGAGUCAGUGCAGUCGCUACCCAGGAAACGACGAGUCAGGUUGUUUGGGAAUGCAGCCUAAAAUGGGAGGUAAAUCUCUCCUAAAGCUAAAUACUGGCGUAAGACCGAUAGCGAACAAGUACCGUGAGGGAAAGAUGAAAAGGACUUUGAAAAGAGGGUCAAAUAGUACGUGAAAUUGUUGAAAGGGAACCGUAUGAAAGUAGACUGGCUUGGUGAUGAUCAAUGUGUGUUUCGGCACGCAUGCACUCAUUGCCUUUGCCAGCCAGCGGCAGUUUUUGCUAAAGGAAGAAAAUCAGGGGAAUGUGGCUUCGAUUUCGGUUGAAGUGUUAUAGCUCCUGGUAAAAUACUUUGGCAGAGACUGAGGCUAGCAGUGGGUUUUUGGGAACUUUGCGCGCUUGUCGUCCAAUGGUCAAGUUUUCUUCGGAUGCUUGGUUAUUGGGUGGCAACUCGUGUGAUGCUUCACCCUCCCGCUUAGGUCGCUGGCGUAAUGCUUUUAUAUGA
rnacentral:rRNA from 1 species